UACAGAGGGGGCAAGCGUUAUUCGGAAUUAUUGGGCGUAAAGGGCGCGUAGGCGGCCUUGCAAGUGACGGGUGAAAUCCCUCGGCUUAACCGAGGAACUGCCUGUCAGACUGCAUGGCUUGAGACCGGGAGAGGUGAGUGGAAUUCCCAGUGUAGCGGUGAAAUGCGUAGAUAUCGGGAGGAACACCUAUGGCGAAGGCAGCUCGCUGGGACGUUACUGACGCUGAGACGCGAAAGCGUGGGGAGCAAACAGG
rnacentral:rRNA from 1 species